rnacentral:rRNA from 1 species
UCCGUAGGCGGGUAAUUAAGUCAGAGGUGAAAUCCCACAGCUGAACUGUGGAACUGCCUUAGAUACUGGUUAUCUUGAGUUUUAGUGAAGUAGAUAGAAUGUGUAGUGUAGCGGUGAAAUGCAUAGAUAUUACACAGAAUACCGAUUGCGAAGGCAGUCUACUAACUAACAACUGACGCUAAUGGACGAAAGCGUGGGGAGCGAACAGGAUUAGAUACCCUGGUAGUCC